CCUACGGGAGGCAGCAGUGAGGAAUAGUGGUCAAUGGACGCAAGUCUGAACCAGCCAUGCCGCGUGCAGGAAGACGGCUCUAUGAGUUGUAAACUGCUUUUGUACGAGGGUAAAAGCAGAUACGCGUAUCGGUCUGAAAGUAUCGUACGAAUAAGGAUCGGCUAACUCCGUGCCAGCAGCCGCGGUAAUACGGAGGAUUCAAGCGUUAUCCGGAUUUAUUGGGUUUAAAGGGGGUGUAGGCGGUCGGCUAAGUGAGAGGUGAAAUCCCGAGGCUCAACUUCGGAAUUGCCUCUGCUACUGUUCGGCUAGAGCGUAGUUGCGGUAGGCGGAAUGUAUGGUGUAGCG
rnacentral:rRNA from 1 species